rnacentral:rRNA from 1 species
UACGUAGGGGGCAAGCGUUGUCCGGAAUCAUUGGGCGUAAAGCGCGUGUAGGCGGCCCGAUAAGUCCGCUGUGAAAGUCCAGGGCUCAACCCUGGAAGCGGCGGUGAUACUGCCGGGCUAGAGUCCGGGAGAGGCGAGUGGAAUUCCUGGUGUAGCGGUGGAAUGCGCAGAUAUCGGGAGGAACACCCGUGGCGAAGGCGGGUCUCUGGGACGGUACUGACGCUGAGACGCGAAAGCGUGGGGAGCGAACAGG